GUAUCCUUGAUUCAGCGGCGGACGGGUGAGAAAAGACUAGGAAUCUGCCUGGUAGUGGGGGACAACGUUUCGAAAGGAACGCUAAUACCGCAUACGUCCUACGGGAGAAAGCAGGGGACCUUCGGGCCUUGCGCUAUCAGAUGAGCCUAGGUCGGAUUAGCUAGUUGGUGGGGUAAUGGCUCACCAAGGCGACGAUCCGUAACUGGUCUGAGAGGAUGAUCAGUCACACUGGAACUGAGACACGGUCCAGACUCCUACGGGAGGCAGCAGUGGGGAAUAUUGGACAAUGGGCGAAAGCCUGAUCCAGCCAUGCCGCGUGUGUGAAGAAGGUCUUCGGAUUGUAAAGCACUUUAAGUUGGGAGGAAGGGCAGUAAGCUAAUACCUUGCUGUUUUGACGUUACCGACAGAAUAAGCACCGGCUAACUCUGUGCCAGCAGCCGCGGUAAUACAGAGGGUGCAAGCGUUAAUCGGAAUUACUGGGCGUAAAGCGCGCGUAGGUGGUUUGUUAAGUUGGAUGUGAAAGCCCCGGGCUCAACCUGGGAACUGCAUCCAAAACUGGCAAGCUAGAGUACGGUAGAGGGUGGUGGAAUUUCCUGUGUCA
rnacentral:rRNA from 1 species